rnacentral:rRNA from 1 species
UUCGGGUCGUAAAACUCGGUCAACAAGGAAGAUAAGGACGGUAGUGGAGGAGGAAGGGCAGGAUAACUACGUGGAAGCAGCAGAGGAAAGAGGUAGGGGGGUAGCGGUAUGCGGAUUGAGUGGGAGGAAAGGGUGAGUAGGCGGGAAUUCAAGUCAGGAGUGAAAGGCUACGGCUCAACCGUAGUAAGCUCUUGAAACUGGGAGACUUGAGUGCAGGAGAGGAGAGUGGAA